rnacentral:rRNA from 1 species
GACGAACGCUGGCGGCGUGCUUAACACAUGCAAGUCGAACGGAAAGGCCCUGCUUUUGUGGGGUGCUCGAGUGGCGAACGGGGGAGUAACACGUGAGUAACCUGCCCUUGACUUUGGGGUAACUUCAGGAAACUGGGGCUAAUACCGUAUAGGAGCUCCUGCUGCAUUGUGGGGGUUGGAAAUUUUCGGCGGUUGGGGAUGGACUCGCGGCUUAUCAGCUUGUUGGUGGGGUAGUGGCUUACCAAGGCUUUGACGGGUAGCCGGCCUGAGAGGGUGACCGGCCACAUUGGGACUGAGAUACGGCCCAGACUCCUACGGGAGGCAGCAGUGGGGAAUAUUGCACAAUGGGCGGAAGCCUGAUGCAGCAACGCCGCGUGCGGGAUGACGGCCUUCGGGUUGUAAACCGCUUUCGCCUGUGACGAAGCGUUAGUGACGGUAAUGGGUAAAGAAGCACCGGCUAACUACGUG